rnacentral:lncRNA from 12 species
GCCACUCAGGGCUGGAGGGAUGUGGAUGGGGUACUGAUAGGGUUGGCUGCUGUGUUCUUUCCUGAUACAUCCAGAGGCAGCUCUCCACCAGACCUCCAGGCAGCGACCACUGCUCAACUGGAAUUGGAGAGAGGAACUCCAGGAAAUGUGGCGCCAGGCCUGGGAGACUGUGAUUCCUUCCAAGGUUGGAGUUCAUCACAAUCUCUUUCCCACCCCCAUGCUCUUCCUCCUUGACCUUUGGCAGUGAGAAAUCUCAAUCUCAUAAAACUGCCAGAAGAUUUCUCUGUUCCAUUGCUAGUCAACAAUAGGAAAUUGCAAAAGGGCCAGCCCCUCCUGACAUU